GAUGCUGUCAAGCUUCUGGCAAAUGGAAGUUUUUUGGUUUUUCUCAACAUCAGGGUAACGGGUUUCCAUCUGUUGCUAACAGGUGCUAUAAUUUACCACUUCUCAAAGCACUCCUGCGUGCCCUGGGCGCUGGCCACCCCUCCUGAGCUCCCGAGCAGUGAGCGGGUCCUGGUCAGAGGACCCCUCCUCCCUGGAGCACUCUGCUGCGUCUCCAACACUCGGGGGCACAUCUGCUCCAUCUUUCCCUCUGAAGCAGCACUUCCUUUGGACGUGUGACCCAGGGGUGGCUCUUUAGUGCCACUCGCUUGACACCUGGCGGGCAGGCAGUGCCUGUCACCAAAUUUCAAAAAGCAACAGUACACCACCAGGGAGUGAGGCCUGUCCAGAGCAGCGCAUGAGAUGGGCACGGAUGGCACUCUCCGGCUUCAGGGCGCCCUCGCAUGCACCACCCACGUGAUCCUCACACCGGCCAGGCUCCAGGCAAAUGUAACAAAUGCUGGCGUCUCAGGCAGCUCAAGGAAGAGCAGUCCCACAGACCCUGAUCAGAAUGUCACACCUGGAAGGGAGGCCCGAUGUCCCUUCCUGCCUCGUCUUCUGAAGAGGCCCUGAGAGGACUCUUCACCUUGGCACACUGCAUCAAGAAGACACCCGGGCAGCUGGAAAAACAAGCAAGCAGAUGAGCCCACACACUGAACCUAGAUGGUCAUCUGGAAGGCAGGCAGGGCCUACCUUAGUCCUUCUGGUACUCGAAAUCCAAGAGCCAUAGCCCUGAGACUGGGGAGCAGAGGCUUGAGUGCCUUGCUCACAAGGAUUAGUGAGGAUGCGGUCAGAAAGCUCGGAGGUACGGGGGCUCACACCUGUGAUCCCAGCACUUUGGGAGGUGAGGGUGAGAUGACUGCUGAACCCAGGAGUUCGAGACCAGCCUGGGCAAUGCAGUGAGACCCCGUCUCUACAACAAUUAGCUGGGUGUGGUAGUGUGAGUAUCUAUAGUCCCAGCUACUCAGGAGGCUACGGUGGGAGGGCUGCUUGAGCCCGGGAGGUCAAGGCUGCAGAGAGCCGUGACUGCACCACUGCACUCCAGCCUGGGUGAGUGAGACCCUAUCUCUAAAAAAUAAAUAAAUAAGUAAUAAUAGCCCAGAGGGGCCAAGACAAAGGCCCAACUCUGUUCAUAGCCCGACAACCACCAGUGACAAUCUGUGUGGCGGUGGGUGCUGGCUUGAUGCUCUGCAUUUCCGACUCAAUCAUUCAAUUCUGCCUGGUUCUAUUUGACCCACUGGCUUCUACAUGGAUGCUGAUAUCAAAAACAGCAAUAUCAUACAUGAAUCAUGGCCUGUGGUAAGGAUGAUGCGGGAGACUACUAAUUUAUGCCAGAAAUGUUUACUGAGCACCCCAAACGCACCGGCCACCAACGCUAACCACGUGGCAGCCAGCAGAGGACGCAGAGGUGGGCACAGCCACAGCGGGCAGGCACGUCGGCGGGCCGUCCUCCAGGCCUGCUGGACAACUGGCCCCGGGGACCUGCCUCAUCUUGGUAUCCACCUCUGCCCACUAGACAGGCUCCCAGCUCCCCCUGGUUGGACAAAGGCACCAUCACCACAGAGCUGGGGAGGUCCCUAAAGCAGUGUCCAGCAGACCAAAAGAGGGCCAAUGAGGGAGACUUCUAGAGCCCAGAGGCCCCAGCCUGGAAUGCUGCAUUUCCCCAGGGAACACGGGUUAGGUCCUGGAGUGUCACCAGACUAGUACCACACACAGAGGUGUAAUGAGGAAAAUGGGCUUUUUAUGAGCCGAGCCACCAUUUACAACUCUAUUUCCACGUGAAAAUACAGAAUCCCAAAUAAUCAGCUUGCAAGCGUUUUAGAAUACCAGACUUUCAAGAGGUGGAGGCUGGCCCCACACCCUCCCUUCUGAUAUGCUGUUGUGUGUUUCACGCACACAGAAACUCUGUAGAGCCCCAAGGUUAACGUCUUCCCCUUUCAGCCACACUUUUGGAACAUCCUGCGUAGAUAGAGAUCAUUUUUGGUUUUCAGUUCCCUUUGGUCUCUGAGGAUCACGCUCCAAGGCGUCAGGGACAGGAAAGAGGCUCGCUUAUUCUCAGGCAUAUUUUGAGGCUCCACUUUCCUGCCUCUCUGGGCAGCCACGUGCAGCCCUUAGCUUACCAGGGUGGACUCUCUGGACUCUCAUUUCUCACACUUGUUUUGGCGGUGAUGCCACUAUAUUUACUGCUAACUAUAGUACCACUAUAAAUAAUAACAUAAAUAUUAUAAUGAUAAAUAGUGUUGGAGCAAUGCCUUUUUU
rnacentral:lncRNA from 10 species